UUUUAUAAAGCAAGACACUGAAAAUGUCUAGAUGGGCAUUAUUGCCCCAUCAACA
rnacentral:tRNA from 2 species